rnacentral:lncRNA from 1 species
CUUUUCUCUGCCCUUAGGAAGCUCAAGAGCCAAACUGGCUGGAGCAGAAAACAUAAAGGCCAAUGGCUUACUUUUGUACUCCUGCUCUCUUCUUACUGGGCUUUUAUUCUCUCUUAUGGAUUACUGUAUUAUUUAAGAUGCUUUUAAAUGACCCUGAAUCAUUUUGGGAAAUGUGGUAUUGGGGGGUAUAAUAAGAUAUAAUAGUUUCUUCACUAUUUGUACUAACAAUUGACUCUUUCAGAUAUUGUAUUGACCCAGCUACAAGGUGAAAUUACCUCUUUUAACAGAAGUCAAUGGAAGCACAUGCCAACCAGCUCCAUGUCACAUUGUGCAAUGGAUAUCACUGCGCAAACUCCAUAAAGGAGGGAGUCAUUACUACCACAGGACUUAAUAUAUUUGCCAAGAAUAUAAUUAUUUAAGGCCUGAAGACCCUCAAAAAUACACGUAUUUUAGUCUGGAAUAUUCACUUGAACUACAAGACUUGCUUACCUUUAAGAAACAGAAUCUACUUGGACUCAAGUGCUUAGGAACAUGGGGUAUGUCUUUUCUUGAAAUCAAAGUAAUGCAUCUCAACCUACCUGAAUGACACAUCAAUGGUGUUAACUGGCAUACUGGGUGAGUUGUGUCACUAUCUGGAAAAGUUAGUGACUGGAGUUCUGAAAGAUUUUAUAUUUUCAGUGAAAUCAUAACCUUUAGCAUAAAAAUUGUAUUCCAAUUCCAGUUUUAUCAUAAUUAAAGAUAAUCAUCAAGCCCAAGUCUCUCAUUUGAAAUGAAUAAAUCUUGUGAAAACAUUUCA